AGCGAACGCUGGCGGCAGGCUUAACACAUGCCAGUCGAGCGGGCAUCCUUGUGGUGUCCGCGGCAGACGGGUGAGUAACGCGUGGGAACGUGCCCUUCGGUUCGGAAUAACUCAGGGAAACUUGAGCUAAUACCGGAUACGUGCGAGAGCAGAAAGGUUUAUCUGCCGAAGGAUCGGCCCGCGUCUGAUUAGCUAGUUGGUGAGGUUAUGGCUCACCAAGGCGACGAUCAGUAGCUGGUCUGAGAGGAUGAUCAGCCACACUGGGACUGAGACACGGCCCAGACUCCUACGGGAGGCAGCAGUGGGGAAUAUUGGACAAUGGGGGCAACCCUGAUCCAGCCAUGCCGCGUGAGUGAUGACGGCCUUAGGGUUGUAAAGCUCUUUUCUCCGGGACGAUAAUGACGGUACCGGAGGAAUAAGCCCCGGCUAACUUCGUG
rnacentral:rRNA from 1 species